rnacentral:lncRNA from 1 species
GGACACCGGAGGGAAGUAUGGACGGCCGGGCCGGGCCGGGCCGGGCGGAGCGUGAAGCCGGGUUAGGGCCCGCCGGGUUUGGGCCCACCGGCUCUCAUCGGUCAUCAAGAACUUGCAGAAAGCCGGGCACGGUGGCUCGCGGUUGUAAUCCCAACACUGUGGGAGUCCAAGGCGCGAAGAUCGCUUGAGCCGAGGAGUUAGAGACCAACUUGGGCAACGUAGGAGACCUCCGUCUCCACAAGUAAAAUUAAUUAGCCGGCUGUGGUGGCGCGCACCUGUGGUCCCAGCUACUCAGGAGGCUGAGGGAACAGGUAUUUGUUAUAAUAGCAACAGCUACG